CCUACGGGAGGCAGCAGUGAGGAAUAUUGGUCAAUGGCCGUAAGGCUGAACCAGCCAAGUAGCGUGAGGGAAGACUGCCCUAUGGGUUGUAAACCUCUUUUAUGCGGGGACAAAGGUGUCCACGCGUGGAUGUUUGCAGGUACCGCAUGAAUUAGGACCGGCUAAUCCCGGUCCAGCAGCCGCGGUAAUACGGAAGGUUGGGGCGUUAUCCGGAUUUAUUGGGUUUAAAGGGAGCGUAGGCCGGUCUUUAAGCGUGCCGUGAAAUUUUGUGGCUCAACCAUGGGAGGGCGGCGGGAACUGGGGACCUUGAGUGGGCGGGAGGCAGGCGGAAUUCGUGGUGUAGCGGUGAAAUGCUUAGAUAUCACGAAGAACCCCGAUUGCGAAGGCAGCCUGCCGCAGCGUUACUGACGCUGAGGCUCGAAAGCGCGGGGAUCGAACAGGAUUAGAUACCCGAGUAGUC
rnacentral:rRNA from 1 species